UCUAUCUAUACAUAUAAUAAAAUCGUAGAAAAGUGCUGUCUGUACAUUGAAAAUAAAAAUAAAAAAAAUAGCAGGGGUUAUUGUUAUGUCGAUGUCGAACCCAAAAAUGUAAUUAACUUUUUUUUUGUCUGUUUGUCUGUUUGUCUGUUUGUCUGUUCGUCUGUGCGCGCUAAUCUCAGAAACGGCUGAUCCGAGUUGGAUGCGGUUUUCACGAAUAUAUUGUGGGAUGCUUAAAUUUACAUUUAGUGUUUGUUUCAUGUCAAUCGGUUCAUAAAUAAAAAAGUUAUGUCAAAUUAAAGAAUCACGUCGAACAUUCUAUGCUUAUACCAUUAAUCUCCGCAACUAUUUGACGGAUUUGGUUGAAAUUUGGUACAGAUAUAGUUUAGAACCUUAGAAAGGACAUAGAUAUAUUUUUAUUUCAAAAAUCAAAAAAUAAAAAUAACAAAUAAAUUAUUUAUAAAUAAUUCUAUGUCGAUCGUUACACGACUUCGGUUGAUGUUAUUGUUUUAAUUCAUCAAAAAAAAGUAAAUAAAUAGUAAAAAGGUAUGAAAAAAAUAAUAUCAAUAUAAUUAAACUUUUAGUACAAAGAAAAUGCCCGAACGGAGUAUAAAUAAAUAAUCCAAGUUGUCUUUAUCCUCGAUAGAUGGCGUUGGGAUCGAAAUAGAUCGCGCUAUGGUUUCGUUACAUUCAUUUGGUUGGGUAUCGGCCGAGCGCUUCGGUACUAUCGUAGAAAAAGUGUAUUAUCAGUCGUAUGAUUAUUUGUCUGUAGUGGUCCUGCUGUUUCGUAUAUUCUAAAUUGGUUUCGUUGUAUUUGUCAAUUAAUAAGUUUAUUUGUUGGGUUUUCCUGGUUUUUUGGUUAAACUAUUUAACGUAGGUUUAGUUUGAUAUCGAUUAUUAGUAGUUACUGUAGUUAGUUUUUUUAAUAAAAUUGUAAGUCUAAUUUAUAAAUUAAUUAGAUUAGAUUUAAGUCGUUUCUUUUAAAUUAUUUAGUUUAAGCUUGGUUAUUAUAGCAUAGAGGAUAGGUUGUAAUAUAGUUUCUUUUUUAAUUGUUAUAAAUUCGUAAUUCGUAGCUUUCUUUAGUUUUAAGUUAGUUUAAGUCCGUUUUUAAACUAUUUUUUCAAUA